UACGGGGGGGUAAGGCGUUGUUCGGAAUUACUGGGCGUAAAGGGCUCGUAGGCGGCCAACUAAGUCAGACGUGAAAUCCCUCAGCUUAACUGGGGAACUGCGUCUGAUACUGGAUGGCUUGGAUCCGGAAGAGGGAUGCGGAAUUCCAGGUGUAGCGGUGAAAUGCGUAGAUAUCUGGAGGAACAUCGGUGGCGAAGGCGGCAUCCUGGACCGGUAUUGACGCUGAGGCGCGAAAGCCGGGGGAGCAAACGGG
rnacentral:rRNA from 1 species